GCGAGCAGAUGGGAAAGAUAAAUGCGGAUAACGCUGCCGUGUCUGGAAUAACACGGCUCAAGAAAAACAAACGAGGCAAAUGAGAGAACAUUUCUGCUUGCAGCACAUGAAAAUAAACUCUUUGUUUGGAACUGGAAAACUAAAAGAAAUUAUUUCUUUUUUAAUUAAAACACCUUUGAAACUCUAACAAGUGUUUCUGAAGGAUGCAGGAAAGAGAGAGGAUGUGAGAAAGAGGCGGACGGAUUUACACUCUCUCCAGUGCUCUGACCUUUACCACAGAAGAUUCCAUACACCAGAGCUACUCUUUUGAUUUUGACAAACCCUAACUGUUGAAGGAACAAUCACUACAGGUUAGGAAUGGCGAUGAUGAUUAUGAAUGGGCCAAAACUUCAGCUGCUGCAGAGAGCAGGCCAUUUAUGUGACCUCAGUCAGCAAAAUUGUUUACAUAGAUAUUGAUGUCCUCACCUCCAUUCCCUGUAUUUCGAAACAA